rnacentral:rRNA from 1 species
AAUAGAUACCUGGUAGUCCACGCCGUAAACGAUGAGUGCUAAGUGUUAGAGGGUUUCCGCCCUUUAGUGCUGCAGCUAACGCAUUAAGCACUCCGCCUGGGGAGUACGGCCGCAAGGCUGAAACUCAAAGGAAUUGACGGGGGCCCGCACAAGCGGUGGAGCAUGUGGUUUAAUUCGAAGCAACGCGAAGAACCUUACCAGGUCUUGACAUCCUCUGCCAACCCUAGAGAUAGGGCGUUCCCCUUCGGGGGACAGAGUGACAGGUGGUGCAUGGUUGUCGUCAGCUCGUGUCGUGAGAUGUUGGGUUAAGUCCCGCAACGAGCGCAACCCUUGAUCUUAGUUGCCAGCAUUCAGUUGGGCACUCUAAGGUGACUGCCGGUGACAAACCGGAGGAAGGUGGGGAUGACGUCAAAUCAUCAUGCCCCUUAUGACCUGGGCUACACACGUGCUACAAUGGAUGGUACAAAGAGCUGCGAACCCGCGAGGGUAAGCGAAUCUCAUAAAGCCAUUCUCAGUUCGGAUUGU